rnacentral:rRNA from 1 species
GACGAACCGUGCGAACGUUGUUCGGAUUCACUGGGCUUAAAGGGCGCGUAGGCGGGCGGUCAAGUCGGGGGUGAAAUCUUUCAGCUUAACUGGAAAAGUGCCUCCGAUACUGAUCGCCUCGAGGGAGGUAGGGGCAUGUGGAACUUCCGGUGGAGCGGUGAAAUUCGUAGAUAUUCGCAAGAACACCAGUGGCGAAGGCGGCUCACUGGCCCGAUACUGACGCUGAGGCACGAAAGCGUGGGGAGCAAACAGG